rnacentral:rRNA from 1 species
AGGACGAACGCUGGCGGCGUGCUUAACACAUGCAAGUCGAGCGGUAAGGCCUUUCGGGGUACACGAGCGGCGAACGGGUGAGUAACACGUGGGUGAUCUGCCCUGCACUCUGGGAUAAGCCUGGGAAACUGGGUCUAAUACCGGAUAUGACCUGCUCUCGCAUGGGGGUGGGUGGAAAGAUUUAUCGGUGCAGGAUGGGCCCGCGGCCUAUCAGCUUGUUGGUGGGGUAAUGGCCUACCAAGGCGACGACGGGUAGCCGACCUGAGAGGGUGACCGGCCACACUGGGACUGAGACACGGCCCAGACUCCUACGGGAGGCAGCAGUGGGGAAUAUUGCACAAUGGGCGAAAAGCCUGAUGCAGCGACGCCGCGUGAGGAUGAAGGCCUUCGGUUGUAAACUCUUUCAGCAGGACGAAGCGCAAGUGACGGUACCUGCAGAAGAAAGACACCGGCGUAAACUAACGUGCUAGCAGCCGC